rnacentral:rRNA from 1 species
GUAGGGAAUAUUGGACAAUGGGGGCAACCCUGAUCCAGCGACGCCGCGUGAGUGAUGAAGGCCUUCGGGUCGUAAAGCUCUGUUGCAGGGGAAGAACACAAUGACGGUACCCUGCUAGAAAGGAUCGGCUAACUUCGUGCCAGCAGCCGCGGUAAGACGAGGGAUCCUAGCGUUGUUCGGAAUUAUUGGGCGUAAAGCGGGUGCAGGUGGCUUGGUAAGUCAGAUGUGAAAGCCUGGGGCUUAACCCCAGAAGUGCAUUUGAUACUGCUGAGCUUGAGUGCUGGAGAGGCUAUUAGAAUUCCUGGUGUAGUGGUGAAAUACGUAGAUAUCAGGAGGAAUACCGGAGGCGAAGGCGGAUAGCUGGCCAGACACUGACACUCAGACCCGAAAGCGUGGGGAUCAAACAGGAUUAGAAACCCUGGUAGUCC